CGGCCCCGCCCUAAUCGUGCCCCGUCCUUGGUCUGUCCCUGAACCCGUCUCCCCAGAGCGGGCCUGGCGUCCAGUGGCCUCUCACCAUCAAAGAGAGUGAAGAACGCCUCUCUCUCGUCCCUGAUAUCCAGACGGUAAAAAGACCGGCAGGAAACGGCACCCCAGGAUGAUGAAAGGAAGACCCUGGUGAACCUGAAGAAAAUGUCCAAGAAAAGGAGGAGACGUCAGUGUCCCGCCAUAUGCGUCUUCUCCCAAAACACACUUUUGUCCUCAUGCUAAGGAGGACUGGACGGUGGCCCCCAAAUGAGUCCAUGUCUGAAGCCCCAGAGCCAGCAGAUGCGACCUUACUUGGAAAAAGGGUAUUUGCAGAUGUGAUUAAGGAUCCUCCUGGAUUAUCUGGGGGGCCCUAAAUCCAGUGACCAGCGUCCUCACAAGAGGGAGCCAGAGAGAGGAGACCCGGGAGAAGCCACGUGAAGAUGGGGGCAGAGACUGGGGUGGUGUGGUCACAAGCCCACCAGAGGCCGGAGGAGGCAGGAAGGACCCUCCCCUAGAGACUCUGGAGGGAGUGCCCCCCAACCCCCACCUUGACUUCUGACUUCUGGCCUCCUGGACUGUGAGAGAAUACACUUCUGUUGUUUUCAAG